UACGUAGGGGCUAGCGUUGUCCGGAAUCAUUGGGCGUAAAGCGCGCGUAGGCGGCCCGGUAAGUCCGUUGUGAAAGUCAAAGGCUCAACCUUUGAAAGCCGAUGGAUACUGCCGGGCUAGAGUCCGGAAGAGGCGAGUGGAAUUCCUGGUGUAGCGGUGGAAUGCGCAGAUAUCAGGAGGAACACCAAUAGCGAAGGCAGCUCGCUGGGACGGUACUGACGCUAAGCGCGAAAGCGU
rnacentral:rRNA from 1 species